GGGUUAAGUCCCGCAACGAGCGCAACCCCUGCAUCCAGUUGCCAUCGGGCGAGCCGGGCACUCUGGAGGGACUGCCGGCGACAAGCCGGAGGAAGUGGGGAUGACGUCAAGUCAUCAUGGCCCUUAUGUCCAGGGCGACACACGUGCUACAAUGGCCGGCACAGCGGGAAGCGGAGGGGCGACCCUGAGCGGAUCCCUUGAAAGCCGGUCCCAGUUCGGAUUGCAGUCUGCAACUCGACUGCAUGAAGUUGGAAUCGCUAGUAAUCGCGGAUCAGCCAAGCCGCGGUGAAUACGUUCCCGGGCCUU
rnacentral:rRNA from 1 species